ACAGGGUAACGGUUAGAGCUUGACACGUGUGAGCCGGUAGCACAGGGGAGCGUUGCUCCCCGGGUGACGAGCGGCGGACGGGUGAGUAAUGUCUGGGAAACUGCCUGAUGGAGGGGGAUAACUACUGGAAACGGUAGCUAAUACCGCAUAACGUCGCAAGACCAAAGAGGGGGACCUUCGGGCCUCUUGCCAUCAGAUGUGCCCAGAUGGGAUUAGCUAGUAGGUGGGGUAAUGGCUCACCUAGGCGACGAUCCCUAGCUGGUCUGAGAGGAUGACCAGCCACACUGGAACUGAGACACGGUCCAGACUCCUACGGGAGGCAGCAGUGGGGAAUAUUGCACAAUGGGCGCAAGCCUGAUGCAGCCAUGCCGCGUGUGUGAAGAAGGCCUUCGGGUUGUAAAGCACUUUCAGCGAGGAGGAAGGUGGUGAACUUAAUACGUUCAUCAAUUGACGUUACUCGCAGAAGAAGCACCGGCUAACUCCGUGCCAGCAGCCGCGGUAAUACGGAGGGUGCAAGCGUUAAUCGGAAUUACUGGGCGUAAAGCGCACGCAGGCGGUUUGUUAAGUCAGAUGUGAAAUCCCCGGGCUCAACCUGGGAACUGCAUUUGAAACUGGCAAGCUAGAGUCUCGUAGAGGGGGGUAGAAUUCCAGGUGUAGCGGUGAAAUGCGUAGAGAUCUGGAGGAAUACCGGUGGCGAAGGCGGCCCCCUGGACGAAGACUGACGCUCAGGUGCGAAAGCGUGGGGAGCAAACAGGAUUAGAUACCCUGGUAGUCCACGCUGUAAACGAUGUCGAUUUGGAGGUUGUGCCCUUGAGGCGUGGCUUCCGGAGCUAACGCGUUAAAUCGACCGCCUGGGGAGUACGGCCGCAAGGUUAAAACUCAAAUGAAUUGACGGGGGCCCGCACAAGCGGUGGAGCAUGUGGUUUAAUUCGAUGCAACGCGAAGAACCUUACCUACUCUUGACUUCCAGAAACUUUCCAGAGAUGGAUUGGUGCCUUCGGGAACUCUUAGAACAGGUGCUGCAUGGCUGUCGUCACCUCCGGUUUGGAAAUGUUGGGUUAAUUCCCCAACAAAGGCACCCUUAUCCUUGUUUGCCGCCGGUUCCGCCCGGGAACCCAAAAAAAAAUUUCCCUUAUAAAAUUAAGAAAAGGGGGGGAAAAACACCAAACCCCCCGCGCCCCCCCCAA
rnacentral:rRNA from 1 species